CUGGGGAGGGUCGGGGGGGCAAGGUCGGCUGCAGGCGGAUGUAUCUUCCCUGGACUGUAGGGUGUGCGGGUCCGAAGGGGGCGAGACCCCAUCAUUAGCCUCAUCGUAUGCCCUCCCUUUCCUAGUUUUCAGUUUCAGAAAGCUCAGCAGUGCCAGUCACUACGGAGGCUUCCUGGGACAUAUCCCAACACUAAGAGAAAAAGAGGUUUUGUAGUGUCCAGAUCCAAGGGCAUCUCCCAGCUGGAGGAGAAGGAGAUGCCAUGGCCCUGCUGGGGUCUUUAUAUCCAGAUUCUCAGGUCAAGACAAGGUACAAACAGUUAACUCCAAAGGGAAAAAAUCUUUUGAAAAAAAAUUACAAAGAGUAACCCAGAAAGUUUUCCUAAGAGGCAAUCCAAAGGAGUCUGAGUCUAAACUAGCUUAUGGGACUGAAAUAGGAGCAGAACACUCAUGGAAAAAAGUCACAAUAAAGGGCAGGAGGAAGUUCUUUUCCCAAAAGAGAGGUUGAUGGCGAGUGACCAGCUCUCCCCUCAAAACCAGUUUAGCAGAGAAAGACCAGGAAUGCCACAAAUUAGAGAAAAAUUUGUCUCUUGACACAAAGUUUAUUGCUCAUCAGAGGGACAGGCCUGCAGAGAGAGCCACUAGAUGGAGGACACAUGGCCAAGGCUUUCUGUGGGAGCCAGGCCUGAGUGGACAGGAGACAGGUCCUGGUGGGUCAAAGCUCCUUAGAUGUCAUGUGUGUGGAAAAUCUUUCAGCAAAAAUUUACACCUUAGUCAACAUCAGAAAACUCACCCUUGAGAGAAGACCUGUUGAUAUAUCCAGUGUGGAUGAAUAUUCAAUCACAACUCAAUCCUGUGGAGAGAAACCCUAUAUGUGUAAUGAAUGUGGCAUUUGUGAUUUCAAGAGGCAUCAAAGCUUGUGAAACAUCAGAGAAUUCACACUGGAGAAAAUUCCUGCAGCUGUACUACGUGUGGGAAAGCCUUUAGUGGGAAUUCAACCCUUAUUAAACAUCAGUUGAUACAUACUAAAGAGAAGCCCUACAAAUGUAAUGAGUGUGAGAAAGCCUUUAGUCAGAAAGCAAAUCUCAUUAAGCAUCUGAGAACUCAUAUAGGAGAAAAGCUCUUUGCCUGCAGAGAAUGUGGGAAAAGCUUCAGUCAGGCAUCACACCUAGCUCACCCUCACAGAAUGGAUUCUGGAGAGAAAACCCUACAACUGUGAGGAAUAUAGUAAAGUUUUGGUCAAACAUCACACCUGGUUUAUCAUCAAAAAAUAUACACUGGAGAGAAGCCUUCUGUAUACACUGUGUGUGGAGAGGCUCUAUUUAGAUGUCACACUUGAUUCACCACCAUAGAACACAUUCAGUAGAGAGGCCCCAUGAGUGUCACCAGUGUGAGAAGUGCUGCAGCCAGCGUUCAACCCUUAUCAGACAUCAAGUUUCCCAUACUAUGGAGAGUGCAUACCACUCCGAA